rnacentral:rRNA from 1 species
CGGGCGAGUAACACGUGGGAACGUACCCUUUACUACGGAACAACUCCGGGAAACUGGAGCUAAUACCGUAUCGUGCCCUUCGGGGGAAAGAUUNNUCGGUAAAGGAUCGGCCCGCGUUGGAUNAGCUNGUNGGUGGGGUAAAGGCNUACCAAGGCGACGAUCCAUAGCUGGUCCUNAGAGGAUGAUCAGCCACAUNGGGANUGAGACACGGCCCNAANUCCUACGGGACGCAG